rnacentral:rRNA from 1 species
AUUGAACGCUGGCGGAAUGCUUUACACAUGCAAGUCGAGCGGCAGCGCGGGGCAACCUGGCGGCGAGCGGCGAACGGGUGAGCAAUACAUCGGAACAUACCCAGUUGUGGGGGAUAGCCCGGCGAAAGCCGGAUUAAUACCGCAUACGACCUGAGGGUGAAAGGGGGGGAUCGCAAGACCUCUCGCAAUUGGAGUGGCCGAUGGCGGAUUAGCUAGUUGGUGAGGUAAAGGCUCACCAAGGCGACGAUCCGUAGCGGGUCUGAGAGGACGACCAGCAACCCUGGACCUGAGAGACGGUCCAGACUCCUACGGGAGGCAGCAGUGGGGAAUUUUGGACAAUGGGGGCAACCCUGAUCCAGCCAUUCCGCGUGAGUGAAGAAGGCCUUCGGGUUGUAAAGCUCUUUCGGCAGGAACGAAACGGUGGGUCCUAAUACGAUCUGCUAAUGACGGUACCUGAAGAAGAAGCACCGGCUAACUACGUGCCAGCCGCCGCCGUAA